ACUAAUGGAAGCCCAUUGCUCCCGACUUCAAGGCAGGUGCAUCUGGUGGCGGUGAAGGUAAAACGGUUAACGCUAAUACUCCACUAAUGGCCGCUGCGAUUGCUCCGACCACAAAUACCGGUAGGUUUCCACCACCGAAGAGGGCGUCAAAAGAUCCUCCUCCAAGUGAUACUAUCAUUUGUGGUAUCACAAUUGCCAAAUUUAAAACUCCUAUCGAAAGUCCUGUAAACAAACAAAAAGAAAGAAACACUUUAAAAGUCAAAUUUAAAUAUUAUGUUAUAAAGGGAAACUAUUUUUAUUUAUGGUAGUACUGGAUGAAAUGAAACAUACGAAUUAGUAAAAAAAUCUCACCCAACUAAUGCUAUGGAUAAACUUAUCGAUAUUGUCCACAUAAGAUUUUGAGAAAAAUAACAAAGGAAAGAUUUAAUCCUUUCUUUCUUGACAAAAUGGAAAAAGUUAACUCUAAAUGAUAAUUUAAUUGGAAACAAAUCUCUCUCGCUCAUUAAUGUAUUCAAAUCAAACGUUUGAACUUAUUACAUGGUAAUUUAAUUGGUCCCAAAUUGUCAGACGAUAAGAUUUCUUAAUUAACAGGAGGAGAUAAUAGAUUUUAUAAGUAAAUUAAAUUACAACAAAAGUUACCUUGGCCGGCGCCGGAGCUAUUUGAAAAUAUGGAGGCUAGUGCAAAUGGAAUACUGAAAGUAAUCUGUAAAAAAAAGGUUUAUUAGUAUAUUUAACUAAAAAUAUAAAAAAUGUAAUAAAACUCAAAUGAAGACAAAAGCUGAAAUACUUACAGCUAAUGGAAUACCAAGGACAGCAAAGAGACUCAACGCUCCAGCUCUCACUCCAGACGACGGUCUGGCAAACUCACCGGCAGUUUUCCGGUGUUCCUCCGCCUGUUUCGAAAUUAGAACCGUCAUGGCCAAGCCUAUGGCAAGGAUAAAGUUGACAAUCCCCCAAAGCCGUUUAGCUCCUCCCACUUUCCGACCAGUCCACUCAACACCAAGUGACAUAAACAAAAGAACUAUCGAUUGAAGCAUCAAUCCCAAUGCACCAGCGUGUACUCCUUUGUUGUAUAGUUUCACCAUUCUAUCGUCUCCUCCUGAAUCUCCACCGUACACUUCACGACCCAUCCAAUCAGUAUCAAACAAAAGAAACGGGAACCAUGCAAUCCAGUUUAGAGCCGUGACGAUAAGUAGCAUCCACAUGGGACGUUGCAUGACUUUAAAAGCUCCAAGGAUUUCUCCAAGAAACGGAACACUCGAUGUCUUCUCGUCUCCGGAGUUUACCGCCGGAGACCAUUGUUUGUCUUUAACGUACCAGAGAGACGAGACGGUGACGAUGAUGAGGAGUGUGAUGGACAAGAAGAAACAAGACUUGAGAUUCGCGCAGUAGAUAUCACAAGCUUUGGUCAUUGCGAACGGGAACAUCUUGUGGAGGUUAGUGUAAGAACCUGCCACGUAAGAAUUUUAUUAUAUUUCCAAAUUAUACUUUCAUACGAGAUGCAUUCAUUCAUUGUAAUUUUUUUUUGAAUUGAAUAAAAUUAAUAUUCAUUAAAAAAAAAUAAACCUGCGGCGUAUCCCAAAACGUUUCCAACCGCCAUAAAGAAGGAGAAAAACCCGUUUGCGACUCGCGUUCUUUUAGCGUCUCCGGCGGAUAGGUCGGCGAGGAAAGCACGGCAAGGUCCUUGGAGGGUGUUGUUAGCGACGUCGAGGAUCCAGAACCCGAAAGCGAAGAUCCCUAUGGCUCGAACCCUCGGGGUUUUCUGCUCGAGUUUGUCUCCCAUUUUAUGGCCGAUAUCCGCGGCGUAUCCGAUCAAGAACACGGCGACGGCGACCAGGGCGGCUCCGGCGGCGAUAAAGGGACGGCGGCGACCGAAUCUUGAGGUGCAUCUGUCACUGUGGUAACCGACGAUUGGUUGAACAAUCAUGCCGGACACGGGACCACAUAGCCAGAUGAGAGAGGACCAUUUGUGACGGAUACCAAGAAGCUGAACGUAAGGAGUUAGGAGAGAGAGCUGUAGGGCCCACCCGAACUGUAAACCGGCUGCGAUGGAAGCGACGGAGAUGAUUUUACGGAGGGGAGAUGGCUGGUCGAAAUCUUCCUCUGGUGACUGCAACGUUGGCUCUAUCUAUUAUCAACAACGUUAUAACUCCAGCUCAUCAAGAUAGUCUUUCCUCAACAAUUGACUAAACAUGUGCUUUAUAACUAUCUUUUUUUUUUUUCAAAUGGUACUAACCAACCAAGGAAAAAAUACUGUAGAAGACUAAAUUAAUAAAACAUCAGAGAUGCAAAUCUUGAAUUCAAAACAUUCAGUUAUAUGCUUGUAAGAAGACCAGUUUAGGCAAAACCGAGCUCUGUUUAUACAAUCUUAAGAGGUCAGAAAAGGGUUUAUGCGUGGGUGGUGUGUACUAACGCCCUACGUUUGAUGAGCUCACAGCAUAUUUACCAAAAAGAACAUGAGCUGGACUGAGAUCUCGUCCUCUUUGCCCCUUUUUACUUUUGUCGAUCUUCUUGAACCAAGGUCCAUGUUCUUGGUAAUCGAGACAAGGGGAAAAAAGUUGAGGCUUUGUGGCUUGCCGUUGUUAGGCUAGGAAACAAUUAAUAACGCUUUUAUGGUGACCCCAGGGACUCUUGGCGUCUAAGUGGAAUGUCUUCUGAUUCAAACCCAUCCUUAUCAGUAUGCUUGCUUCUACGCAAUGGUAAUAUUACCGGCGAACCUGUAAUAACAUAGCCAUAACAAUCAGUUGCGAACUCUCAGAGCAGAUGGAUACAGACACUUGGUAUUAAGAUUAUAUGUACACAACAUAUGGCAAUCAUGCAUAGCUAUGUUCCUGAAACUCUAGCUAGUAGUGUUACAUAUAUAUUCAUUAUGCAUAUCAUCGUUCCUCAUAGCCGUAAAUGAAAUAAAGUAGCCAUAUGUUGAUUCAGAAAGUAUUGUAACAAAAACCACACGUUCCUGUGACAAUUUGAGUACCAUUUUGCCAAUCCAAGUCCUAUUUAAAACCCACAAAAAGCAGUCAUUUGAUUCAUGUACCAAAGCAACAAUCUACAUACAACGAGAUAUGUAAAACUGAUAAACAUGAUAACACUGGCCAAUAUAGUUAGCGAUGUGAGCAUUACGUAGUACAGGAGAGAUACUAUAGCUGUAUUGAAUGUAUCAAGAGCCUGCAAAUGGAAAGCAGUCAAAGCAACUAGUUUAGUUACCAAGAAGACAUCUUACUACAAAACUAUUAUCAUAAAGAACAUUUAAGUACACUUACUUUGUUUAAGUAGUUCAACUGGGUUGUCACUUGUCACACAGAUAUAGCCUAUAGAGUUGUUCCAAGUGCUUUUACAUUCAUUACCUGUUCACAUGUUUGAAAAUGUUGAAAUACCAAAGCCAAAAGAGGAUCUGUAGACUUUAAAUAUUAAGAACUACAUACCGAUAAUGAUCCCACAAGGGAACAAAUACCACUAUAGACCAUGACGUUUGCCUGACCAUAUUGGGGGCAGAAACGUAUAAUAAGAAAUACAGCAGCCCCAAUGAUCAGGCUCCCAUAGCACAUGAAUGCUGCAACAAACUUGAUGAAAAUCAUGAGAUGGUUUAAGUUCUAUCUCUCAUACAAUAGAGCAUCACAGUCCCAUUCAUACAACGCACCUGGUUCUGUUGCAAGAUUCCAAACUUCAAGCACAGAAUCCAUUUCUUGUUCUUGAGAGACAUGACAAUUGUAGUGGAACCCACAACACAUAAAGCACAGCCAAGAACUCAAAAGAUGUGUAGUUUCUCCCGUAAUAUGAUAUGAGCCAAGACAGCACUGUGAUUCAAAGCAAGAAAAAAGUGUAUAAGAAAAAGCAAAACAGGUGAAGAGCGAGACAUGAGUAGAUUAUCUUGCCUGAUAAUGAUACUGAGUGCGCCUAGAGGAGUGACAAGUAUAGCCGAUGCAAAUGCUUAAGAAGCGAAAUUGGCAAUCUCACCAAGUAACACUGGAAGUAGCAGAAAACAAAAGGGUAAAGGGCUCGCUUGUUGUCAUGCCGAUCCACCAACGAGGCUCGUCAAGAUAAGAGUAUAUUUCCGGCGCCACCAUUCUUUUUUCUCUUUAGUUAGAAACAAAAUAUUUACAACUAGAGCAGCCCGAUUAUAAAUUGAAAAUAAUUUAAAUAGUUAGAAUAAAUUUAUAUUAUUAAAUUUGAUAUAUCAGUCACAAUCAGUCAAAUGCUUUGUUGGGUUAAAACUAUAAUAUAUAUAUAUAUAUAUAUUACUACUCCAAAAGCGGUUAAAUUUCCAUUGAAAUUUUGCGACUUUUGAUUAAAUAUUUUUAACAAAAUACAAAUAAUCACAAAAACGUACGAAAAUAGUUUACAGUAAAAUAUAUUCCAUAUAAACUACUCCCUCUGUUCCUAAAAGAUGUAUGUUCUGGAAAAAAAAAUUGUUUCAAAAAGAUACAUUUUUUACUUUUUCAAUGUAUGAUUUUAUGAAAAAAUUGUAAGUUUCAAAAAAUUAAUGGUGUUUAUUGAAUUUCUACUGGGUAAAAGUUAUGAAAAAUUGUUAUUCACAAAAAACAAUGCAUGUUUAAUGAGUUUUCUUAAUAUAUGUGAAAAGUCUAGAAUAUGCAUCUUUUAAAAACAGAGGGAGUAAUUAAUAAUUUAAAUAUUGCUUUUAAUACUUGCAUUGUAUUCUUAAUAAAAAUUAUUAGUUAGGUAAUAAAAGGAUAACACUAUUUGUUUUUUUCUUAAUACAACGUCACAUUAAUAUGAAAUAAACUUUUUGACGAUUAUUAAAUAAUUUAUUCUUUGAUAAAAAUGAACUGAAUUCUUUUUCCUUAUUUCUCAAAAAGUUUGAAUCUCAGUUAAAAUACACAUCUAGAGUUUUAUUUUGUCUUAAGCUUCUUCGCAUGGAGAUUGAAACAUGCACACAUAAAGAUGGAAAUACAGAUCUAUGGAAAAACUACCAAAAUCUGAAGAUCUAAAGACAAUUAUGUAAAUAUAAUGAAAUCACAAAAACUCUAGGGAUUUAAAAAAAAAAAACAAAAGGGAAAAGGUUAAUGUGACAUGGUUAUAUCUGAAAACAUGGCAACAUAUUCAUCUACUUUUUUUUUUGGAUCAACAUAUUCAUCUACUUUAACACCCAAAAAAGAAGUCUUUGUUUCCUUUCUGAAGAGCUGGCGAAGAUGUACUCAGCUGCUGUUUGGCAAGCAUGGUCCAUUCCUUUCCCUCUCUCUAUCACUGCUAUAGGUGGUGCACCGUGCUUAUUUUCCCUCAUCAAAAUUCAUAUCCUCUUUCCUCGCUAUUUUAGACUUAUUGGUUGGUCGUUACAUCCAAAAGACCAUCACUGGCAGCUAUUAGACAACCUUCUUUUCUUGACCUCGGCAAAAAUGUUACUUCUGGUUCUAGGAUCACAAAUAGCUUCAGAUAUUUUUCACCUUCACUAUGGUCCAUUGGAGGAAACACACCAACGAUCUAAUGUUUCUUGAGGGUAUGAAAUUAAUAAGCCAACUCUGAAGACAUUCAUAGAUGCAUUACACGUAAUCAAAAGAAGCAUUGCUUAUCAAGGGACGCAGCCACAUAGAUAACACCACAUACAUGAGCGCCUUUUCAUUGUAUAAACUUCUCCCUAGCAUUUUUUUAUUAUGGCAUAUUCCCUCUAUAUUUGGCUGCAAGAAACAUGAAGUGUUAAAAAUCCAUCAGGUCGGUAAGAUUUCAGAUUGUUUAAGCUCUUAUAUAGAAAGCAAAAGAAAGAAGCUCAUAUUUUACUGUGUUUGACUGAUAGGGGCAUGGCUUUUUUGCCACAUAACAAUGCCCUUAAAUGACAAAACUCAUAUCAACAAAAAACUCUAAACAUAUAUUUGAAAUGUUGAAUAAAGAAAAAGAAAGCUAGGCACUGAAGAUAAUAAGCUUGACGUAUAGAACAACAAAUAUGAGUUCAGUUUAGCGCAAACCUUGUAUCUGAGAUGAGGAUUGCGGAGACGAAGCAUGAGACGUUCUAUUCUACCAAUCUUGCACCCUUCACUGGAAUCAGUUACAACUCCUUUACGCACACCUGAUUUCUUCUUUGUUUUUAAUAGAUUCAAAGAACCCCACAAAAUCUCUGAGCUCUAGAUCUUGCAUUACGUGAUCUCCCGGAGAGGUUAGGAUCUAAGAACCCCACAAUAUAUUUGAGCGCUGAAUCUAUAUAUAGAGAGAUCUAAAUAUAUAUUGUAUUCAUGGUUCUUAGACAGGGUCCUUUUCUGAGACAUAACUUUUUGUUCCGUCCGUCCAAGAGCCAGAAGAAAGGCACAAACAGAGAACCGAGAACAGCUUCUUACAGCAUUCCCAAACCCUUUUCUUGAUGCCAUUCCUGGAUUUUUUACAGCUUUAAAGAUCAGAACACGAUUAAAAAAAACACCUAAAAGCGUAUAACUCUUUGUUUCCUUGACCUUACCUUGAAAGUAUGUACACAUUCCCUUGAAGUGAGAUCUUCAGAGAAGACUGAGAAGAGAAUUUCUUGAAAAUAACAUGGAGGAGAAAACUAAUAGCACAUGAACGAUGCUUCACACUUUGUGACAAAAGCCUCUCAGUAGUAUUACACAAAUCCCAAAGAAAACCAGCUGCAAUAUUCUCCACCUUUGGAGCUGCCCGGGGACUUUGAAAGCAGCAUUCAGUAUCAGGUUAAGGAGAUGGCACGAAAGUGGAAUCGGAAAUGACUCAGACAAAGAUCCAAUGUAGUUUUCAACCAUAUCAUUUGUACUCAAAGAGUCAAGAAACAAUAUCUCUCCCCAUUUAAUGAAAUCAGAUUCUUCGUGUUGAAGCAUUCCCAUCGAAACACCAACUGAUUUCAGAAAAAAAAAGGCACCAAGCUCACUUCCAAUACAACCAAUGCACUUGUCCCCGUCACAACUUCAAAGAACAAUUGAACAAUCUGAUAGAGUCAAAGACAUGAUGAUCAAAUAAGCUCAAAAGGAGAUGUGAGUUUGGGCUUAUUAAUAGACAACAUGAGGAGGAAGAUUCACCUUAUUAAGAGUGGCCAUUGGGGCUUUAGAUACCGAAGAUGGAACCGGCGGAAACUGCAGCAUCGAUGAGGAACCGUCGAGAGAAUCGAAGACAACUAACAACUAUGUAGUUGCAGGAGCAAUAGUUGGAUCAAGAAAUCAGCGAGGUCGAAAAUGGAUUUCGUCAUAUCUUGCUUCCCUAUAGAAAAGCAUUUAUAUCAAUUAGUAUUAGAUGAUUCCCAGAUUUUGACAAUACAAAAAAUGCACUUUCUGAAAAUCUAUACAUAUAAAGGUUUACGGGAUUCUGUAUAUAAACGCACUCUGUGAAUUUGCCAUUCUACUGAAAAGAAUUUUCUAGUGUUUUUUCAGGAGUAGUGAAGAUGAGUUUUAAAAGGUGAAAGCUUACCAUCUUAUAGCUGGAGAUCACCGCCUUGAAGAGAUGCAUUGAAUGUGUAAUCGUGAUUGGAAUGGGUGUAAAGAGUUGAGAAUGUCGUCAAUGCCGUUGAAUCUAUGCUUCAUGUGACGGUUCAAAGGAGAUGACACGGAACGACGCAAACGGAGCUCCACCCAAAGAUGCGUCCCACACAAUAUUAUAGAACAUCAAUUGUCGAUUGACCUAAUUGGUGCUCGAUCAAAACGAAGAAUCCUAGAUACCAACCGUCAUCAUUCUUGAAGAAGUCGAAGGGGAUUACGGCAAAGCUUUAGUUUUGAUUUCAGCCCAAAAAAAAUUAUUCAAAGCCUAUAUUGCCAAGCCGAUCCGAUUGCCGAGUUAAUGAAAUGACGUAUAGGUGGGACACGUGUCGAGACCAUGACACUCGAAUUAAUGACGUGACGCUGACGUGGUCUCACAUGAGAAAAGGAAACUCUAUUUUAUAUAUAUAGAUUUUGAUUUAUUGUAUUUUAAUACUAUACCUAAAUAUAUAAGCUUUUUCUUCUUUUUAUAGCAUUAUGUAUAUGUAGCUUGUAACAAAGGUUCGGUCUACAUCGGAUCUGAAAUUGCAGUCCACAACACACGCACACAAAUAGCAAAACUUAAAAAAAAACGAGUAUAGUUUGGUAUUAACUUUCAUUUGAUGUAAUUUGGUUUGAUGUCAAGUUUAUGUGAUUUUUCUGAUGUAAAAAUGCUACAUAAACGUUCUUAGCAGAAAGAAUUUCGCUGUUUUUGAUGAGUUAACGAUUAAGUGUCGUGGAUACAAAGCUUAUAACUUUUCAAAAAGUUAGUACUCUAAUUUCGAAAAAUUUUAAGCAGCACAUCAUUUUCCAAACUUAAAGCUAAAGUUAGCACAUAUUGAGCAGGGCCUUAAAGGCCUGGCUCGGUAUUUGGUAUUUCAGGUUAACAGAAUUACAUGCAUUUCCUGGGCUCCGGCUCUUGCUAUUCAGUUACAUAUCCAUAAAUUUGUUUGGGUCCAGACAUAAUAGUCCGAGGGGAAAAUGAUAAGAAUAUGUAAAUUUAAUUUUCAACAGUUGGCUUUACUUUUUUCUUUUGGUAUGUAUACUGUAUAGAUGUGGUUGUAUCUAUAAGCUAUAAUGCACUGAAUUUAUACUUGAAGAAAAUAUACAACUACUAACUUGUGUAGAAUAUGAUGUACACGCAUACGCUUGAGUGCCAGCAAUAUUUUUCUUUUGUAUCUGUUGUGGUAUUGUCAAUGUUAGGUGAACAUGAAAUAGACAAAACAUGUCAUGUUAGCCUAGUUUGUUCAUAAGAAUAUUUAAGGUUUAUUAUUUAAUACUAUUGCAUAUUUCAGUGUAUUUGACGUCUUUUCAAUGAGAAGAGUACUAAUAAUAUUUUUGAUAACCAAUUACCUACAUCAUGCAAAAUAGUCCAAGUAGUCAACUCUUUUUCAUGUAUUAUACGAUUGUCAUAAAUUGUCAGAAGGAUUCACUUUUAAUUUGGAAAUUAUUCAGAAGUUGAAUCUUUCUUUUAUCAAAAUCACAGGCACAAUAGUUAUUGACGGCAAAAAAAUAUAUUUCAAAUAGAUAAUCGGUAACAAAAACAACAAACUAAAAGAAAGGGUGAGAUAGAUAACCCAAGGUUAUUAGAUUUAUCACUUUAACCAUUCUUCUUUUUGGUUAUAAAGGUUUGCAUAUUUGCACAACAGUACUGUAUUUGAUGAGUUUCACAUGAAAAUUAAACAUAGAGUACACUAAUGGAAGCCCAUUGCUCCCGACUUCAAGGCAGGUGCAUCUGGUGGCGGUGAAGGUAAAACGGUUAACGCUAAUACUCCACUAAUGGCCGCUGCGAUUGCUCCGACCACAAAUACCGGUAGGUUUCCACCACCGAAGAGGGCGUCAAAAGAUCCUC
rnacentral:lncRNA from 1 species